rnacentral:lncRNA from 1 species
AGUGUGCACGUGGCGGUGGCGACGCAGGCACGACGUGUUGCGGAAGGCCUUGCCACACUCCCCGCAGGCGUAGGGCCGCUCGCCAGAGUGCAGCCGCAGGUGGUACUGGUAGUGGGACGACCACUUGAAGGUGAGGCCGCACUGGCCACAGGUGAAGGCCCGCAGGCCCGUGUGCACCCGCUGGUGGAUGGCCAGCAGGGAGGAGCGCUU